AUUACCAAAUAAGGCUCUACAAACAUCAAUGAAGCUAUGUACGGUCGACAGUUGCCAUCUAGCGUGCACAAAUUAUGAUAAUGUGUGUUUUUUAUGCAGCGUGUGACUUGUGACCUGGAAUUCGUCAAGUCGCAACGUACGAAGUGUACAUGCAGUGUCAUGGCGUGACGAGUGGGGACCUUCGUGGCCAUGUUUUGGCAUGAUUUCGGAGAUUCAGACGGAAAUCUCAAAGACCUAUUGGUUGUCUCUCGGACGCUGUGGAGGAGGUUGGCCUACAUUUCUUAUUAUGCGGAGUGUACGGCAUUCCACCAUGACACGCAGAUGACGUACCCUGCCCUGACGAAGGAUACCUUCAGAAAAUUU